CGAUCUCCUGGCUCAGGAUGAACGCUGGCGGCGUGCCUAAUACAUGCAAGUCGAGCGAACAGAUAAGGAGCUUGCUCCUUUGACGUUAGCGGCGGACGGGUGAGUAACACGUGGAUAACCUACCUAUAAGACUGGGAUAACUUCGGGAAACCGGAGCUAAUACCGGAUAACAUAUUGAACCGCAUGGUUCAAUAGUGAAAGGCGGCUUUGCUGUCACUUAUAGAUGGAUCCGCGCCGUAUUAGCUAGUUGGUAAGGUAACGGCUUACCAAGGCAACGAUACGUAGCCGACCUGAGAGGGUGAUCGGCCACACUGGAACUGAGACACGGUCCAGACUCCUACGGGAGGCAGCAGUAGGGAAUCUUCCGCAAUGGGCGAAAGCCUGACGGAGCAACGCCGCGUGAGUGAUGAAGGUCUUCGGAUCGUAAAACUCUGUUAUCAGGGAAGAACAAAUGUGUAAGUAACUGUGCACAUCUUGACGGUACCUGAUCAGAAAGCCACGGCUAACUACGUGCCAGCAGCCGCGGUAAUACGUAGGUGGCAAGCGUUAUCCGGAAUUAUUGGGCGUAAAGCGCGCGUAGGCGGUUUUUUAAGUCUGAUGUGAAAGCCCACGGCUCAACCGUGGAGGGUCAUUGGAAACUGGAAAACUUGAGUGCAGAAGAGGAAAGUGGAAUUCCAUGUGUAGCGGUGAAAUGCGCAGAGAUAUGGAGGAACACCAGUGGCGAAGGCGACUUUCUGGUCUGUAACUGACGCUGAUGUGCGAAAGCGUGGGGAUCAAACAGGAUUAGAUACCCUGGUAGUCCACGCCGUAAACGAUGAGUGCUAAGUGUUGGUCUCAUAAGAGAUCAGUGCUGCAGCUAACGCAUUAAGCACUCCGCCUGGGGAGUACGACCGCAAGGUUGAAACUCAAAGGAAUUGACGGGGACCCGCACAAGCGGUGGAGCAUGUGGUUUAAUU
rnacentral:rRNA from 1 species